rnacentral:rRNA from 1 species
UACGAAGGGGGCGAGCGUUGUUCGGAAUUAUUGGGCGUAAAGGGAGCGUAGGCGGUUCGAUAAGUCACUUGUGAAAUCUCUGGGCUCAACUCAGAGUCUGCAAGCGAAACUGUCGGGCUUGAGUAUGGGAGAGGUGAGUGGAAUUCCUGGUGUAGCGGUGAAAUGCGUAGAUAUCAGGAGGAACACCUGCGGCGAAAGCGGCUCACUGGACCAUUACUGACGCUGAGGCUCGAAAGCUAGGGGAGCAAACAGG